rnacentral:rRNA from 1 species
CAGUAGCCACGGGAAAACGAGGGGUGCAAGCGAUAUUUGGAUUGAUUGGGUGUAAAGGGUGUGCAGACGGCUUAUUAAGUCACUUGUUAAAUUCUUCGGCCUAACUGAAGGGCUGCAAGUGAUACUGAUGAGCUAGAGGGUGGAAGAGAGAAGUGGAAUUCUCGGAGUAGCGGUAAAAUGCGUAGAUCUCGAGAGGAACACCAAUGGCGAAGGCAGCUUCUUGGUCCAUUCCUGACGUUCAUACACGAAAGCGUGGGGAGCAAACAGGAUUAGAUACCCCCGUAGUCCCUGUCUCUUAUAC